AAAUACUCCCGAGAGACCGAUAGCGAACCAGUACCGUGAGGGAAAGGUGAAAAGAACCCCGAGCAGGGGAGUGAAAUAGACCCUGAACCCGUCUGCCUACAAGCGGUCGGAGCGUCGUAAUGACGUGACGGCGUGCCUUUUGCAUAAUGAACCUACGAGUUACUUUUUCCGGCAAGGUUAAGCAUUUCAAAAUGUGUAGCCGAAGCGAAAGCGAGUCUGAACAGGGCGAUUAGUCGGAAGGAGUAGACGCGAAACCAAGUGAUCUACCCUUGGUCAGGUUGAAGGUUAGGUAACACUAACUGGAGGACCGAACCGAUAAGCGUUGAAAAGCUUCCGGAUGAGCUGAGGGUGGGGGUGAAAGGCUAAUCAAACUUGGAGAUAGCUCGUACUCCCCGAAAUGCAUUUAGGUGCAGCCUUGGGAAUUACUACUGUGAGGUAGAGCGACUGAUAAGAUGCGAGGGCUUCACCGCCUAUCAAGUCUUGAUAAACUCCGAAUGCGCAGUAGUUCGAUCCCAGGAGUGAGGGCAUGGGUGCUAAGGUCCAUGUCCUAAAGGAGAAGAAUCCGGACCAUCAGCUAAGGUCCCGAAAUAAUUGCUAAGUUGAACUAACGAAGUCAGAUUGCUAAGACAGCUAGGAUGUUGGCUUGGAAGCAGCCAUUCAUUUAAAGAGUGCGUAACAGCUCACUAGUCGAGCGAUCUGGCGUGGAUAAUAAUCGGGCAUAAACGAUCUGCCGAAGCCGUGGAUGUCGCAAGACAUGGUAGGGGAGCAUUCCAUGCCGCGUCGAAGAUGAGGGAUGACCCUUGUUGGAGCGCAUGGAAAAGCAAAUGUAGGUAUGAGUAACGAUAAGGGGGGCGAGAAACCCCCCCGCCGAAAGACCAAGGUUUCCUGAUCAACGCUAAUCGGAUCAGGGUGAGUCGGGACCUAAGGCAAAGCCGAACGGCGCCGCCGAUGGAAGAAUGGGUUAAUAUUCCCAUACUGCCUCAUGGAGUGACGUGGAGACGGAGAAGUGACAGUCCUGCCGGCUGACGGAAUAGCCGGUUGAAGGGUGUAGAUAUUGAUUCCCGUAGGCAAAUCCGCGGGGAGAGUCGAACCUGAGAGUAUACGGAGCGCUUGCGCAACGUAAUAUGGACGUAACCAUGCUCCCGAGAAAAUCCGCUAAACUUAUCCAUGCGGCACCCGUACCGUAAACGGACACACGUGGUCGGGUUGAGAAUACUGAGGCGCUCGAGUGAUUCACGGUUAAGGAACUAGGCAAAUUGACCCUGUAACUUCGGGAUAAAGGGUCCUCGUCGUAAGGCGAGGCGCAGAGAAUAGGUCCAGGCAACUGUUUAACAAAAACACAGGGCUGUGCCAAAUUGAAAGAUUACGUAUACAGCCUGACACCUGCCCGGUGCUGGAAGGUUAAGAGGAGAUGUCAUCGCAAGAGAAGCAUUGAAUUGAAGCCCCAGUAAACGGCGGCCGUAACUAUAACGGUCCUAAGGUAGCGAAAUUC
rnacentral:rRNA from 1 species